GCCCUCGUGGCGGAACUGGCAGACGCGCAUGGCUUAGGACCAUGUCCUUAACGGGGUGCAGGUUCGAGCCCUGCCGAGGGCA
rnacentral:tRNA from 2 species